CAGCAGUAGGGAAUUUUCGUCAAUGGGCGCAAGCCUGAACGAGCGAUGCCGCGUGAGUGAAGAAGGCCUUCGGGUCGUAAAGCUCUGUUGCGGGGGAAAAAAGGCAGCAUCAGGAAAUGGGUGCUGACUGAUGGUGCCCCGCCAGAAAGUCACGGCUAACUACGUGCCAGCAGCCGCGGUAAUACGUAGGUGGCGAGCGUUAUCCGGAAUGAUUGGGCGUAAAGGGUGCGCAGGCGGUCCUGCAAGUCUGGAGUGAAACGCAUGAGCUCAACUCAUGCAUGGCUUUGGAAACUGGAGGACUGGAGAGCAGGAGAGGGCGGUGGAACUCCAUGUGUAGCGGUAAAAUGCGUAGAUAUAUGGAAGAACACCAGUGGCGAAGGCGGCCGCCUGGCCUGUUGCUGACGCUGAGGCACGAAAGCGUGGGGAGCAAAUAGGAUUAGA
rnacentral:rRNA from 1 species